CCCCGUCGCCGCCUCCCUCUCCUUCCAUGCUCCCCGCCGGGCGCCGCCGCCUCCCCUCUCCUCUCCGGCUUCCCUCCCCACCCCUCACCCCUCCGUGCGGCACGGGCCGGCAUUGAUACGGCGGGUCGCGGCUUACCUCCCGCAGCUGCUCAUCGGUGAGAGCAUCCUCGAAGGCCUCCUCCUCCUCCUGCUGCUCCGGCCUUGGAGCCUCCCCGCCAGCCGUGGCCCCCGCUUGCUCCUCGGGCACCGGCAGCGACGAGGCGUACACCGCCUCCUCGGCGACCACGGCGGUUGCCGGCUCCUCGAGAACCGGCGAGGAGGGUCGCGUCGCCUUCUCGAGCUCCAACUUUGACUCUAGCUCGAUCAGCACAGCGAGGGGCGCAUCGCCAUGGAGGAGGAAGGGGAGGAGGCCACGCCGCCGGCCGCGGUGCUGGGCAAGGCGGAGGCGGAGCUGGUGGCGGUGCUGCCGCCGGAUCCGUUCGCGCAGCUGGACGUGACGCGCAAGAUCACCUCCAUCGCGCUGUCGUCCCGCCUCGGCUGCGCUCUGCCCGUUGUUCAUCGAGCAAUGGUCGCUUCGCUGGCGGCGAACAUCCGACAGAUGCACGGCAAGAGCAAAAGGGGAUUGAUGAUCGAUGAUGGCCGUGUAUAGGUGGCUACAGGAACCAGUGGAGGAGAUGGUUUGCAAGCACCUCGUGGUGCUCCUAAAUUCUUGCUUGGAAGGUCAUGUAUCCAACUCUGAUGGAACUGACUUAAUGCGAUUAGCAUCCGGCUGCUUGCAGUAUGAAGCAUGCGACCGGCCAUAUCUGAAAGCAGUGGUGUCUGGUCUUGCAAGUCUCCAGAAAUAUGCUUCUGAAAUGUUCUAUCCUUGCAACUUCUCAUGUUCUAAUUCCUAUACCUUCUGUAUCUGUUGAGAACACAAAGGCUGGUCAUGUGUGCCAUACAUUUUAACUUGGUUUUCCUUUUGAUGUCAUCUAGCAUGUUUCCUUGCUUAAUAAUUCUAACUGAAUUUUGAUGCAGACUCCUUCGCACACUUUGCUGGGCAUCCAACAUGAUAAAAGUAGCUCAGACCAAGUCCUGUUAUCUGCUAUCGGUAAAGCUUUUGCCAGAGUCUUGAGAUGUUGCAGGAUGAUGGCUAUAAUGAGGAUGACAUGGCAAAUGUACUGAGCUAAUAUCAUUCCAAUGUAAGAUGAAUCUAAGAGCAUCCAUUUAAUAUGGGGCAGAUGAUUGAAACUUUUGCCAAAUGUCCACUUCUAGCAUAGCCCAGGACUGUCAUUUUCUAAAAUUACUCCUGAAGUGUUUCUUUCAUGCUUUUCACUUCUAGCAUGAUCCGCAUGUAAGUGCACCUCCGCCAGCACGAGUUUGUUCCAUCUGUGCUUUUCAGCCCCAACUCACAUGUCUGAUUUUGCAUCUUGUUUAUGCAGGUGGUCAGAGUUCUGAAGAUGCUUGUGCACACAUGUUCAGUGAUCAAGCGAUGCCGAUCAAUGCAAGAUCCAGCUGACUGAAACAACAAUCUCAGUAAUGGAUUUACCACCUGGUAGUGUUAGCACUUGUCAGCCCCGCGUUGCAGCUGACACUCUGGACUCUGAGCAGUUCAAACCGUUCAAAGCUUGCUAUGUGACGAGUGGAGCACAAGCAAACAACUCCUCAGCCCUCUUUACAUGUAUGAAAAGAAUGUAGCUUGCGCAAGUUAAAAUAUUGUACCAUAUUUCAUCAAACUCUCAGCUUCCUUAUCUGAAUUUGCUCUGACGACAAACUUCUGAAUGCCCGGAUCUGUGGAACGAGCAUUUCAGCUAUCUACUACUGCAGUUCAUAUAGACGAUGCCAGGACGUUAAAGCUCUUCUACUAAACGUUUAGAACUCACUCAUUAGGGUAUUCUGUGCCGGCAUGUAUUGUGGUACAGCUCCGAAUGUUUGAUUCUCAUCAUGUACUGCAGUUAACACGAUGUAUUGAUUUCAUCGUA